rnacentral:lncRNA from 1 species
GCUGUCGCCGAGCGUCGGAGCCCGAGGGGCCGCGGCCGCGCGCCGCGGGGGGAGGAGACGGUCUGGAGUCCCCCCGCUGCGCCGGAGAUGGGGAGACGGAGAACUGCAGCGCCCCUUGGGGCUUCUGAGGCGCCCAGGUAACCUCACCUGGCCGCCAGUCUCCCGCAGGAGGAACAGACACAUUGGUUCUACACCGAACCUAUUAACAGCUCAACUUCAAAUAUUUGAGGUGGGAUUGCAGUUCACUAAGGUUAUAUGAGCCAGCUUGGUUACGCAAAUGUGAAAAUGCACAUUUUCCAGCCUGUGUCAAGGUGGAAACAUCAGGGCAGAAGAACAUAACUGAUAAUAGCUGGUCACACCUAAGAAGCCAGGAAGCAGAGAGAAAUGGAGACCAGCCUACGAGGACACAUUCCUAGUGACCUUCUUCCCAACUUUGGGUUUCCACCAAUUCACAAGAACACCAUUAAUUAUGAAUUCAUCAACAAAUCAAUUCAUCAAUUAAGUUAAAGCUCCCAUGAUGCAAUCACUUCCCUACAUCCUCCCGUCUGAACAUCCUCGCCAUUGAGAACCAAGCCUUCAACACAUGAGUCUGGGCACAAUAAGUCACAUUGAAUCCAUUGAAGAUGUAAAUUUUAAUGGUUGAAAAUGACUAGCAUAUUAUGUCUGUGAAAUUCAGUAAAGGGGAAUAUGGAAGAGAACGUGUACUAAAACUAAGGGUUCUAGAACGCAUCUGUGCUCUUCCUUUCAAUCUGGAGAGUGAGACAAGGAAGUCUUAAGUUCAAGGCCAGCCUGGGCUAUGUAGUGUAUGCUACCAUUGGCUAUAUAAUUUGACUCCAGCAUUACAAGAAGUAGAGUAAAUAAAAGAUAAAAAAAAAUGACUAUAGAAGUAUCAAGAUAUUACGACUCAUUCAUAUGAUUUCUGCAAUUGAUUUAGUAUGGCAUAUGAUUUAGUAAUCAAAGUGGAUGAAGAUGAUAUAUAUGCAUUAAUAAGAAUAAGUAUGUGAGACUAAACACAGAAUGUCCACCAGACACUGGGCAGUAAUUAGAUUCAACUCUUGUAAAAAUGUUCAACAGGAAGAAAAAAAAACUAUAACUUUGCUUUAUACUUGGAUAGUUACUUUCAGUCAUACAGGUAUGGAAUAAAAUGAAAGGAAAAUGUAGAUGGGAUCUGAAGGCCAGCCUUCUAUUAUACUAUUAAAUUGUAGUGCAGG